GUUGUAACUUAUGUUGCAGUGUUCGAGAACCGAGUAUAGUUCAUGGGAUCAGCAUGAAUUAUUUAACUAUCCUCUUGGGUUGGUAGCCCAAAGAUAGUCGGUUC
rnacentral:antisense_RNA from 14 species